rnacentral:rRNA from 1 species
AGACCCGAAACCCGGUGAUCUAGCCAUGGGCAGGUUGAAGGUUGGGUAACACUAACUGGAGGACCGAACCGACUAAUGUUGAAAAAUUAGCGGAUGACCUGUGGCUGGGGGUGAAAGGCCAAUCAAACCGGGAGAUAGCUGGUUCUCCCCGAAAGCUAUUUAGGUAGCGCCUCGUGAAUUCAUCUCCGGGGGUAGAGCACUGUUUCGGCUAGGGGGCCAUCCCGGCUUACCAACCCGAUGCAAACUGCGAAUACCGGAGAAUGUUAUCACGGGAGACACACGGCGGGUGCUAACGUCCGUCGUGAAGAGGGAAACAACCCAGACCGCCAGCUAAGGUCCCAAAGUCAUGGUUAAGUGGGAAACGAUGUGGGAAGGCCCAGACAGCCAGGAUGUUGGCUUAGAAGCAGCCAUCAUUUAAAGAAAGCGUAAUAGCUCACUGGUCGAGUCGGCCUGCGCGGAAGAUGUAACGGGGCUAAACCAUGCACCGAAGCUGCGGCAGCGACACUGUGUGUUGUUGGGUAGGGGAGCGUUCUGUAAGCCUGCGAAGGUGGCCU